rnacentral:rRNA from 1 species
GACGAACGCUGGCGGCGUGCUUAACACAUGCAAGUCGAACGGUGAAGCGCCUUCCUUUUUGGUGGGUGUGGAUGAGUGGCGAACGGGUGAGUAACACGUGAGUAACCUGCCCCCUUCUCCUGGAUAACCGCAUGAAAGUGUGGCUAAUACGGGAUAUUCUGGGUCUGUCGCAUGAUGGGUCUGGGAAAGAUAUUGUUUCGGUGGGGGAUGGGCUCGCGGCCUAUCAGCUUGUUGGUGGGGUGAUGGCCUACCAAGGCGGUGACGGGUAGCCGGCCUGAGAGGGUGGACGGUCACACUGGGACUGAGACACGGCCCAGACUCGUACGGGAGGCAGCAGUGGGGAAUAUUGCACAAUGGGCGCAAGCCUGAUGCAGCGACGCCGCGUGAGGGAUGGAGGCCUUCGGGUUGUGAACCUCUUUCGCCAGUGAAGCAGGCCUGCCUCGUUUGUGGGUGGGUUGACGGUAGCUGGAUAAGAAGCGCCGGCUAACUACGUG